GGACCCGCACAAGCGGUGGAUGAUGUGGAUUAAUUCGAUGCAACGCGAAAAACCUUACCUACCCUUGACAUGUCAGGAAGUCCGCUGAGAGGUGGAUGUGCCCGAAAGGGAACCUGAACACAGGUGCUGCAUGGCUGUCGUCAGCUCGUGUCGUGAGAUGUUGGGUUAAGUCCCGCAACGAGCGCAACCCUUGUCAUUAAUUGCCAUCAUUCAGUUGGGCACUUUAAUGAGACUGCCGGUGACAAACCGGAGGAAGGUGGGGAUGACGUCAAGUCCUCAUGGCCCUUAUGGGUAGGGCUUCACACGUCAUACAAUGGUCGGUACAGAGGGUUGCCAACCCGCGAGGGGGAGCCAAUCCCACAAAGCCGAUCGUAGUCCGGAUCGCAGUCUGCAACUCGACUGCGUGAAGUCGGAAUCGCUAGUAAUCGUGGAUCAGCAUGUCACGGUGAAUACGUUCCCGGGUCUU
rnacentral:rRNA from 1 species